UAGAAAAUAGUAUAGUGGAAGUACAGGGGGUUUUGGGCUCCUUAGUGCAGGUUCGGACCCUGUUUUUCUAA
rnacentral:tRNA from 1 species